rnacentral:lncRNA from 1 species
AACAAAGACUGUGGGAGCACUGAAAAGUGUUCAAAGAGAAACCAAAAGUAAGAAAAUAAAAGAUGUGGAAUUAUAUAUAUAAAAUUUUACCUGGGCUUAAAAUAAGUAAAUAAAUUUUGGAAAAAAGAUAACUGGAAGGAAAUAAUGUUCAUCAUAUUUUAUGUGAUUGGUGAGACUGGGUAAAUUUUUGUACUUUUCUGUUUUACAAAUUUUAUUUAAAUGAGUAUGCUUUAAUUAUUAUGAAACAACUGAAUGUAAAACUUUAUUUCAUUAAUCUUCAAAAUAUCCCUCUAAGGUAAACAGAGUACAAGUCAAGGUUAUUUAGCAUUGUGUAACUUAUCAUGGAAACCUUGGAAAUGCCCUGAAGUCUUUGCAAUGGAUUUUAAAGGAAAUUCUUCAAAGGAAACCUUUAUGGCUUUUUAAAAAAAACUCCUGAGAUCACUAGAAAGAAAGAAGGGAAGAAAGUGGGAGAAGGGAGGGAAGGAAAGAGCGAGGGAAAACAGAAGGAAAGAAGGUAGCAGGGAAGAAAGGAGGAAAAAAUAGCUAAACCACAUGACGCUUCAUGUGAAACCUGACCUUUCAGCUGCAAGUAUUUAUUUCCCUAUACUUGCAGUAUAGGAAAAUAAAAUAAUUUACCUAGGAUCUCCACCAGUUGAUAAAAAAAGACCAAAACCUAGCUACAGGCUCCUCAAUGACCAUUCUAAUGGUGUAGAAAUUAGACUUUGGUAGGGCAGUUUGUAGGCCAAGAGUUGGAGCUUGUCUUUAAAAUGACAGUGCUUUUAAUGUUUUGUUUUGUUUUUAAAUUGAAAGCUACCUAAAACGGCUGAACUUGCCAGCACACACACACAAGCCUGGGGCAGUAUUAAA